GCCCUGCCAGCCGCAGCCAUCUCGGCGGGCGCGCCGCUCGCAGCCAGCGCCCCAUCCCCAGGCCUGCACGUACGUCGUCGGCGAUCCGGGGCCGGGGGCGGCUCCGAGGUCGUCGGGGCCGGGGUCCCACCUCCUCUUGGAGGAAGCGCCGCCUCCCCACCCGCCCGGGGCCCUCGCCAAGUGGCUGCUAACAAAGCCCAGGGCCCGGCUGCGGGAUGGUUGACUGACAAAGUCAUGCCUGCCUAGCCAGCUUCCUCGUGCAGCACGGUGAAGGCUGGGGCGCCGGGUUUUUACUCCCACGUCCUGCCAACUCGAGCUGACAAGGCGGGCAAUCCACCAGCGGGAGCGUUGGCAGGCCCGGGGUCAGAUCCUGAUUCAGCCAGUUAAUUGCUCGUGGAUGGCAGAGCUGUGUGUUGUCCGUGGUCAGACACACAGGAAGUCUGAAUUGUUAUCCUGUUCUGCCACUGAAAUGUGUAAAAUAUAGGGGGAGUGUCCCAAGUCAUUUUCCUAAAAGCAUCAUCCAACUAUGAGCUGAACACUGCCCCGAGAAUGCAACAGAACUUCAGCUCUGUCCCAAGGUCGUCAGCCACAGCUCCAAGUUUCUUAGCAUCAGCUUUUUCUGAACAAAAUAGUGCAUCCUGCUGGAAUCACUACUGUAAACUGAGUAUAAAGGAAAAUAAACCCUCUUUUUCUUAUC
rnacentral:lncRNA from 1 species